GCUCCCGUAGUUCAAUGGAUAGAACAAGGCCCUUCUAAGGCCGCGAUGAGGGUUCGAUUCCCCCCGGGAGCACCA
rnacentral:tRNA from 1 species